GACGAACGCUGGCGGCGUGCCUAACACAUGCAAGUCGAACGGAGAUAUUAAUGAAGCUUGCGAUUUAAUAUCUUAGUGGCGGACGGGUGAGUAACGCGUGGGUAAUCUGCCCAUAAGUGGGGGACAACAGUUGGAAACGACUGCUAAUACCGCAUACCCUGUGCAAACAGGAAAGAUGGCCUCUGAAUAUGCUGUCGCUUAUGGAUGAGCCCGCGUCUGAUUAGCUAGUUGGUGGGGUAACGGCCUACCAAGGCGACGAUCAGUAGCCGGCCUGAGAGGGUGAACGGGCACACUGGGACUGAGACACGGCCCAGACUCCGACGGGAGGCAGCAGUGGGGAAUAUUGCGCAAUGGGGGAAACCCUGACGCAGCGACGCCGCGUGAGCGAUGAAGGCCUUAGGGUUGUAAAGCUCUGUUUUAAGGGACGAAUGUCUAGAUGAGUAAUAUGCGUUUAGAAUGACGGUACCUUAAGAGGAAGCCCCGGCUAACUACGUGCCAGCCGCCGCGGUAA
rnacentral:rRNA from 1 species